UGAUGAUGCGGUCGAGAUGAUUAAAAAAUUAGGAAAAACACAAGUUUUAUUGGCUAAAGCCGACGUAAAGUCCGCCUUCAGAUUGUUGAGAAUUUGGCCUGGUGAUUUCGAUCAGUUGGGUUUUGAAUUUGAUAAUAAGUUUUAUUAUGACCGUAAUUUGCCUCUCGGGGCAGGUCUGAGUUGUUCCUUAUUCGAAAAAUUUUCCACGGCUUUACAUUGGUAUACGGCAAAGUGCAGCCAUUCUAAGAAUAUUCUGCAUUAUUAAGAUGAUUUUUUGUUCGCCGGAGAAGCAGGCACGAACCAGUGUGCCAAUUUAUUGAAAACAUUUACUAAUCUAUGCCAGAAUUGGGGGGUCCAUUUAGCAGAAGAUAAAAUAGUUUUACCAGUUGAAAUUUUAACAUUUUUG
rnacentral:lncRNA from 1 species